rnacentral:rRNA from 1 species
UAGGGAAUCUUCCACAAUGGACGCAAGUCUGAUGGAGCAACGCCGCGUGAGUGAAGAAGGUUUUCGGAUCGUAAAGCUCUGUUGCUGGUGAAGAAGGAUAGAGGCAGUAACUGGUCUUUAUUUGACGGUAAUCAACCAGAAAGUCACGGCUAACUACGUGCCAGCAGCCGCGGUAAUACGUAGGUGGCAAGCGUUGUCCGGAUUUAUUGGGCGUAAAGCGAGCGCAGGCGGAAUGGUAAGUCUGAUGUGAAAGCCCACGGCUCAACCGUGGAACUGCAUCGGAAACUGUCAUUCUUGAGUACAGAAGAGGUGGGUGGAAUUCCAAGUGUAGCGGUGGAAUGCGUAGAUAUAUGGAAGAACACCAGUGGCGAAGGCGGCUCUCUGGUCUGCAACUGACGCUGAGGCUCGAAAGCAUGGGUAGCGAACAGG